UUCCGUAGGUGAACCUGCGGAAGGAUCAUUAAAAAAUGGUGUGGCCGUUGUUUUGUCACCAUUAAUAAUCCUACCCUUUGUGAAUUUGUUUUAUGUAAUAAUUUUUUUCCAAUGAAAAAUUAUUUGUCUAUCCCUGAAGAAAAGUAGAAUAUACUUUUUUUUAGGAGUAGAUUUUAAUAAUUUUUUCAGUGAAAAGACCUUUUUUUUAAAUUAAACUUUUGUAUUCAUUUGUCUAAAUUGUAAAAAAAUAAUUUAAAAACAACUUUUGACAAUGGAUCUCUUGGUUCUCGCAACGAUGAAGAACGCAGCAAAAUGCGAUAAGUAAUGUGAAUUGCAGAAUACGUGAAUCAUCAAAUCUUCGAACGCAUAUUGCACUUUUUAGUUUACUAAAAAAUUAUGUCUGUUUGAGUAUCAGUAAAAUAUUCUCAUAAAAGCGUUGUGUUUUUAUGGUUAUGAGUGUUUUACAACGAUAAACAAGUUGUUUCACUUUAAAUUCAUUUUUAAAGCCGUUUUAAUGGUUUUAAAAAUAAUUAAAUUGGAUAAAAUUUUCCCGUAAAAAGGAAUAACCUAUUUCAGUUUUAGUUUUUUUAAAUCCAAGGCCAAACAAAAGGAAUUUUCAAAUCAACUUGAUCUCAAAUCAGAUAAGAGUACCCGCUGAACUUAAGCAUAUCAAUAAGCGGAGGAAAAGAAACUAACAAGGAUUCCUUAGUAACGGCGAGUGAAGCGGGAAGAGCUCAAAUUUGAAAUCUUCAAGGUUCUACCUUGACGAAUUGUAGUUUAAAGAAGUGUUUUCUGUUGAAGUUUCGGUAAAAGUUCUUUGGAAUAGGACAUCAUAGAGGGUGAGAAUCCCGUAUUUGACCGUUAUUUUCAGCUGUGUGAUACACUUUCAAAGAGUCGGAUUGUUUGGGAAUGCAGUCCAAAAUGGGUGGUAAAUUUCAUCUAAAGCUAAAUAUUGGCGAGAGACGAUAGCGAACAAGUACCGUGAGGGAAAGAUGAAAAGAACUUUGAAAAGAGAGUUAAACAGUACGUGAAAUUGUCAAAAGGGAAGCGUUUGACACCAGUGUUGUUUUCUCGAAAAUCAAUUAAAAAUGUUGAUUUUGUUGUUAUGACCUUAAAGCUUCUUCACUUUUUCAUGUCUUUUUAAUGCACUUUUCGUUUAACAAGUCAACAUCAUUUCUUUUGUUGUAAAAAGGUCAUUGGAAGGUGGCUUUCACUUCGGUGAAAGUGUUUAUAGCCUUUGGCUUCUGCAAUCGGAGAGAUUGAGGUCUGCAGCGUAGAUCCUUCGGGUUAGAUACGUAGAUGCUAAGUUAUAGUUUUUUAUAGACAACUUGUUGACUAUAAUUAAUCAUGUAGCUUACUCGUUUGCGCUAUU
rnacentral:misc_RNA from 1 species